CCUGAGCGGUCGCAGGGUAAUGACGUCGGCCGUAUCGGGGAUGCUGGAACCUGCGGUUGAGUGAGAAACCGGCGCCACCGCCUGCGUCUUGGUCUCGGGCUGGUUGCCAGCGGGGUCUGGGCUGUGGUUUUACCCAGCUCCUUUGCGAAGCUGCUGUCCUUUCCUCAACGUUACCACCCGGCUGGGCAGCCUACCCUCGCAGCAACAGGUGUGCACCUUCCAAGCUUGCAACAGACCACAUUCAGAAGCUUGAUUUCCUGGUGUUCUGGGAAUAUCUGGAUCAGAGAUUUCUCCAAGCCACUCUCCCCUUCAUCUCCUCCACCCCCAGGACCCAACUCCUGCCCCUCCCACCCUAGCCCCUGUUCUCCCUGCCCACCUCCUACCCCACUGGAGUGGCCUUUCAUCAAACCUAAACCAAAGAAACCAACAGACCUUUCUGUCACCACUACUCCGGGACCUGGAAGUUGAAGCGAGGGAGAGACGGUGAAACACAGAAAGCAGAACGCCUUCUGUUCUUCCACAACACAGUGUUUGUGGACGUGGCCACUAUAAGAACUGGCACUGCGUGCUGAUUAUACUCCUCAGCACAAUUAAUUUCUUAAACUUUUUAGAAUAAUUUAAAAUUUACAAAAAGUUGCAAAAAUAAAAACCAGUAA
rnacentral:lncRNA from 1 species